AUUCAGUAAAUAUAUAGCUUUCAGCAGCAUGCAGCGUACUUUCUCUUAUUGGGACUUGCUUCUGUGUAAACAUGCAUAGGAUUGCACUACAACGGAAGAUCACAGAAGGAUCUUGAAGCAACAACAGUGUUUCCAUGUGCUCCAAUCAACCUUCUUAAACCCACUGAUGAUGCACCCUGUUUGUUUCUUACCCAAUAGUGGUAAAAGAGAAUUCACAUACUGGGCAACUUGGCUGCAAUUGUUGUCCCCAAGCUGCUGUCUAUGAAGGGGAGAUGCAUUCAAGAAAGGAAUGGAAGAUGAUCUUGGACACGUCGGGUAUCAUAUCUGGCAGCUCUGCUUUGCACACUGGAAAAGCUACAGCAAAGAGCAACUCAGAAUUAUCAGAACUGAAACACCUUCGCUGUGAGGAUAGGGAUGGGAUCAGAGGCAGAGCAGGAAGUAUCUCUACCCUCAGCAUCUUCCUUGGGUGAAUGUGGAUAGGUUUGCAGCCUGAGUCUCUUGGAGGAGGAGGCCAUUUCCAGAUCAUCGGCAUGAUUGCUUCAGAUAUUACUGGUGGGGGGCUGGCGGCAGGCAGGAAGACGGAGACAGUGCUCGAGGGCUCUCUGAGCAAAUACACCAACCUCAUCCAAGGCUGGCAAAGCAGGGAGAAGCAUUGUCUCCGACUCCUGUGUUUCCUGGCCUGGAAGAAUCGUUACAACCAGAACAAGGGGCAAUAGGAUUGCCUAUGAAGCAACAACUGAAUUCAUCUGCUUGGAGGGCCUAGAACUAGGACAGCAGCAAGUACCGCGUGUGCCGCAAGCACAACAUCGCCGUACGCAAGAGCUGCGACAAUG